AGCUCCAAUAGCGUAUAUUAAAGUUGUUGCAGUUAAAAAGCUCGUAGUUGGAUUUCGGAUUGUGAUCACGGGUCGGCUCGCAAGAGUGUGUACUUGUGGUUGUGGUCUUUUUCUACGGAGGGUGGUGUCAGCGAUUAGGUUCGGUGGUGCCGUAUGCGCUCCGUUCGUUUACUUUGAACAAAUUAGAGUGUUUAAAGCAGGCCUUUGCCUUGAAUACAUUAGCAUGGAAUAAUGGAAUAGGACUUGCGUUUCUAUUUCGUUGGUUUCUAGGACGUGAGUAAUGAUUAAUAGGGAUAGUUGGGGGCAUUCAUAUUUAAUUGUCAGAGGUGAAAUUCUUAGAUUUAUGAAAGAUGAACUUUUGCGAAAGCAUUUGCCAAGGAUGUUUUCAUUAAUCAAGAAC
rnacentral:rRNA from 1 species